rnacentral:lncRNA from 1 species
AAAAAAGCCCCUGACCCACUUACCAACCCAAAACCCUUGGCCGCCCUGGGGGACCAGGCCCAAGCCCUGGCGUAGCACUGGAGACCCUUCCCACGCUGUCGCUGAAGCACUCACAGUCCAGCCCCAUCUUUGGCCACCCUCUUCUGUUAGACCAGCAAGUCCCAACUGUGCCAGGUAACACCCAGGAAGUGUGUGAACAUUGACAGCUCCAGGGCUCACCUCCAGCUCUGCUGAGUCUUGGAUUUUUU